GACUUAGCAUAUCAAUAAGCGGAGGAAAAGAAACCAACAGGGAUUGCCCUAGUAACGGCGAGUGAAGCGGCAACAGCUCAAAUUUGAAAUCUGGCGUCUUUGGCGUCCGAGUUGUAAUUUGCAGAGGGCGCUUUGGCAUUGGCAGCGGUCCAAGUUCCUUGGAACAGGACGUCACAGAGGGUGAGAAUCCCGUACGUGGUCGCUAGCCUUUACCGUGUAAAGCCCCUUCGACGAGUCGAGUUGUUUGGGAAUGCAGCUCUAAAUGGGAGGUAAAUUUCUUCUAAAGCUAAAUACUGGCCAGAGACCGAUAGCGCACAAGUAGAGUGAUCGAAAGAUGAAAAGCACUUUGGAAAGAGAGUUAAAAAGCACGUGAAAUUGUUGAAAGGGAAGCGCUUGCAGCCAGACUUGCCUGUAGUUGCUCAUCCGGGUUUCUACCCGGUGCACUCUUCUAUAGGCAGGCCAGCAUCAGUUUGGGCGGUUGGAUAAAGGUCUCUGUCAUGUACCUCUCUUCGGGGAGAACUUAUAGGGGAGACGACAUGCAACCAGCCUGGACUGAGGUCCGCGCAUCUGCUAGGAUGCUGGCGUAAUGGCUGUAAGCGGCCCGUCUUGAAACACGGACCAAGGAGUCUAACAUCUAUGCGAGUGUUUGGGUGUCAAGCCCGAGCGCGUAAUGAAAGUGAACGGAGGUGGGAACCUUUCGGGGUGCACCAUCGACCGAUCCUGAUGUCUUCGGAUGGAUUUGAGUAAGAGCAUAGCUGUUGGGACCCGAAAGAUGGUGAACUAUGCUUGAAUAGGGUGAAGCCAGAGGAAACUCUGGUGGAGGCUCGCAGCGGUUCUGACGUGCAAAUCGAUCGUCAAAUUUGGGCAUAGGGGCGAAAGA
rnacentral:rRNA from 1 species